rnacentral:rRNA from 1 species
UCUGGUGUACCAGUUGUUCCGCCACGGAGCAGUGCUGGGUAGCUACGUUGCGAAAGGAUAAGCGCUGAAAGCAUCUAAGUGCUAAGCCCCCCCGAAGAUGAGGUAUCCCUUUGUGCUUCGGCACGACUGAAGGCCCCCGGAAGACGACCGGGUUGAUAGGCUGGGAGUGUAAGACCUGUAAGGGUUUCAGCGGACCAGUACUAAUCGGCCGUGAGGCUUGACCACCUUUUU